UACGGAGGAUGCAAGCGUUAUCCGGAAUGAUUGGGCGUAAAGCGUCCGCAGGUGGCUGUGUAAGUCUGCUGUUAAAGAGUGAGGCUCAACCUCAUAAAAGCAGUGGAAACUACACAGCUAGAGUGCGGUAGGGGCAGAGGGAAUUCCUGGUGUAGCGGUGAAAUGCGUAGAUAUCAGGAAGAACACCGGUGGCGAAAGCGCUCUGCUAGGCCGCAACUGACACUGAGGGACGAAAGCUAGGGGAGCGAAUGGG
rnacentral:rRNA from 1 species